rnacentral:lncRNA from 1 species
AUGCCUGCAGGGAGGGUGCCGAGAGGAUGGAGCCAGGCUCUUCCAGUGGUGCCCAGUAUAAUGACUAAAGGCAACAGGCACAAACUGGACCCUGGGAGGGUCCUUCUGGCCCCCUGGGACACACUUCUCAGUGUGAGGGUGACACUGGCACAGGCUGCCCAGGGCGGUGUGGGGGGUCUCUGUCCCUGGAAACUCUGGUCAUGGUCCUGGGCAGCGGCUCCGGGUUGCCCAGCUGGGGCAGGGGGCUGGAUGGGGGGACCCCAGUGGGGCCCACAGCCCAUGGUCCGUGAGCGCGUUGUGUCCAUGAGCGUGGGUAAAGGUCUGUGUGUGCAGCUUGGGGAGGGCUCCCAGCCCUGCCCUCCCCUGCCUGCUGCAAGACCCACGACUCCCCUGCAGACCUCAGCAUUGUGGACAUGGAGCACCCGGUCCCCGGCUUGUGCCAGCCCCAUGUGCUGCCCAGCUGUGCCCCUGCUCCUGGGCAGGGUCGAGGUGCUAUGGUGCAGUGGGCACGGCACACUGGUGUGCUGCCUGCCAUGGCCCCCGCGGGGACCAGGCUCCUCGGGGCUGCGCGGUGUCUGUUGCUGGCUCCUGGCCCCGGCAGAGCUGCUGCUCACUGGGGACAGGCUUUCCCCCACCUCCCCAGCACCUUCCCUGCCUGCGGCUGCUCACAGGCAGGAGCAGCUCCGCUCUCUGCAGCUGGAGAGGGAUGCCUGGCUCUGGCACGGGCCGUGGGGGAGCCCAACACUGGCCCCAGCUGCCCCCCCGGGCACACACCGGCCUGUGGCCCCGCUGCCACCGUCCCUCUUGGCCAGGAGGUGCCGGGCGGUAGGAUGGGGCAGCUUGGACCAGCCAUGGUGGGGGGCUGUGCUCUCCCCACAGCGGGGCACAGACACCUGGCAGCAGAGGGGGCACGGAGCUGGGGUGUCACAGCACUGGCACCGUGGGGCAUUGCAGAGCAGAAACGGGGUGAGAAUGAGUUGGGCGUCAGGCUCUGGCUCUCGGGACCCAGAUGAGCAUCUCUGGCUUCUUGACCCAGAUGAGCACAGAGAUCUACUGCCGGCCGUGCUGGCCCAGGGAUGGAGACAAGCAAGGAAAGGGUGGGAUGGAGCAGGGAGAGGCAAAGCUGGGUUGAAGCUGGGAGAGGCAGGGCUGGGAUGGAGACGGAUGAGGCAGGGCUUGGAUGGAGAUGGAUGA